GAUGAAGAACGCAGCGAAAUGCGAUAAGUAAUGCGAAUUGCAGAAUUCAGUGAGUCAUCGAAUCUUUGAACGCACAUUGCGCCCUGUGGUAUUCCGAAGGGCAUGCCUGUUCGAGCGUCAUUUCAACCCUCAAGCCCCGCUUGGUGUUGGGCCCCGCCCGCUGUGGCCGGCCCUAAAGACAGUGGCGGCGCCGCCUGGCCCUCAGCGUAGUACAUCUCUCGCUCCAGGGUCCGGUGGCCGCCUGCCAGAACCCCCCAACUCUGUGGUUGACCUCGGAUCAGGUAGGGAUACCCGCUGAACUUAAGCAUAUCAAUAAGCGGAGGA
rnacentral:misc_RNA from 1 species